rnacentral:rRNA from 1 species
AUUGAACGCUGGCGGCAUGCUUUACACAUGCAAGUCGAACGGUAACAGGCCGCAAGGUGCUGACGAGUGGCGAACGGGUGAGUAAUGUAUCGGAACGUGCCCAGUCGUGGGGGAUAACGCAGCGAAAGCUGUGCUAAUACCGCAUACGAUCUAUGGAUGAAAGCGGGGGACCGUAAGGCCUCGCGCGAUUGGAGCGGCCGAUAUCAGAUUAGGUAGUUGGUGGGGUAAAGGCUCACCAAGCCAACGAUCUGUAGCUGGUCUGAGAGGACGACCAGCCACACUGGGACUGAGACACGGCCCAGACUCCUACGGGAGGCAGCAGUGGGGAAUUUUGGACAAUGGGCGCAAGCCUGAUCCAGCAAUGCCGCGUGCAGGACGAAGGCCUUCGGGUUGUAAACUGCUUUUGUACGGAGCGAAAAGGCUCUCUCUAAUACAGGGAGUUCAUGACGGUACCGUAAGAAUAAGCACCGGCUAACUACGUGCCAG